rnacentral:miRNA from 1 species
UAAAAUUAUUAGGUCAGUGCAAAAGUAAUUGCAGUUUUUGUCAUUACUUUCAAUGGUAUAAACUGUAAUUACUUUUGCACCAACCUAAUAUUU